rnacentral:lncRNA from 1 species
CUGGCCCAAAAUGUCAGUAGUGCUGAAGUUGAGAAACCCUGCUCUUGGGUUUUGUAUGAUCUACUGGAGAAGAUUCACAUUAGAAUAAUUCCUUUCGUUGAACACUUUCAAGAAAAGGAAGAACAGGCCGGGCGUAAUGGCUCCCACCUGUAAUCCUAGCACUUUGGGAGGCUGAGGCAGGAAGAUUCCUUGCACCCAGGAGUUUGAGAACAGCCUGGGCAACAUAGGGAGACCCUGUCUCUAUUUUUAAAAAGAAGAGAAGAGAAGAGGAGAAAGAAGAGAAGGAACAAGAAAAUAAAAAAAAAGAGAAAGAAUGAACAAAUGAUAGUUACUUCCCACCUUAAAAGAUCAAAAUUUAACAGAUUUAUUUUGCAAAACAUUUUGCUAAAAUGUGUUAUACACUUGCUGCCAUUAGCUGCCUCCAAUUUUCUGCUUCUAAUCUGGGGUCUUACCAAGAGAUCUGUAAACACACUUCCAAGAAAUCAGUGGAGUAAAUAUGCUCUAUGUGCUGGUUCGAGCGCCUCUUACUACAAGGAGGUGUCACUUGGAUUCGUGGCAUUUAUUUGAAUAUUUGAAAUUUAUUUGAAAGGAAGAAAUCUUUUUGCUUUCUUCAGCUCUCACAUAAAUUGUCGCCAUGCAUGAUCCAAUAUUUACUUAUUGUAAUGCAUUGUGUCUUUUUCUCAGAAAGUAACCCCGAGGGGAGUGGGAAGUUGACUUUUCAGCUCUCUCUUUGGUGCGUAUCUGAAAGCACCUAGCUAGCUUUCAGGCUUAGUUCCUUGUUCCGCAGAGAUGAAAAUUCUUAAUUUUUAUCUAUGAGGAAAAAGUAGACUUUAAAACUUGGCUACUAAAAAUAAACUUGAUUUCAUGAGAAAAAUGGUGUAAAGUUGCUUCUUGAGAAGCUUCUCGUAUGCAGCCUAGUGCUAUAAGUGAAUGAUUAACACUGUACUUAUCAAGUUCUUGUGUUUGUUAUAUUUGUAACAGGUUUUCCCCACUCCACCUUUGUUGCUGGACUAUUGGCUUCUGCUUCCCACUGACAUCAGGGUCUGGCACUAUGUUCUGAUUUGAG